CGAAGCACGUUCAGGGAAAAGAUUGAGUUUCGAUGACAUCAGACUUCACACACUGAGACAGGUAUUCAGACAGGUGAAUUCUGAUCAGGCUCCGCCCCUUUCAGGAUGCUCUCUCUGACCUGCAUCACCUGCAGAUUAAAACCAUCCCGAGGCUCCAUCUCAGUGAGAGAACCUCAAACUGCUGAACAGAGAACACUGACUGGCCUGCCACUCGUUGGACUUUCACAAUAAUAAAAAAAAUGACGACGGCACUGAUUCUGCUGAUGGCCAUGGUAAUGGUUUCUAUGGUACACCAUGUUCAAGGAACGUCUCACCUGUCAUUUGCCAACAACACAGAGGUGAACAUCACUCGAGCAGGCUGUGGAGACACUAAACUGUGUGUGCAGACUCCUGAUGGCUGUGACCCAGCAGCAAGCACCCAGUGUCUGUUUGCGUCGCUCAAUGCCAGCACCACCAUGGCCCCAAAUGGUACCGACCUGUCAGUGGAGCUCAGUGGGAACUCCAGCGGCUACAUUGCCCUGGGGCUGACCGCCAACGCAUCACAGGGAACCACCUUGCUUUUCAUCUGUGCUCAGAACAACGGGUCGUUCUUUUUCCGAACAAUGACAAGAAACAACAGCAACAGCAUGAUUUCUCCCUCAGAGACGAGAGUGACAGAAAUACGAGGCUCUGUAAACGGUGAUAUGAUCCAGUGUGAGUUCAUCAUCCCCGGUGCCAACGCCACUGACACCAGGAGCAGCAAUGACACCAUGUUCAUCGUCAUCCUGGGCCAAGGGCCCGUGAACGGAAAUGUGCUGCUGCUGCUGCUGCCCAGUGUCCUCUCGGUGUCUCUCCUGAAGACGAACUAACAGGAUCCUGACAGUGCUGUGACACAAUGAUGUCUGUAAUAAGUGUGACGUGAAAAAAAAUACUCAACGUAUUGGCCGAUUUAUUACAUGUUGUUGCAAACCGUUAUUUACAGCAUUAACCAGACUUUUUUUUUGCACUUUGAGCUCAAAAGAGCAAUGGUGUACAGUUUUCUUUGUUUAUAGGUGUUUUCACGUUGUGCAAAUGAUAACAUAUUUGUAAAAUAUAUGAAUUUGAUCACUGCAGUGGUUGCAUUAAUAUUGGCCAGCAUCCAGGAGAAGCAUUGGCCUUGUUUAUUGUUCUGUAAAUGUUGUACUGUAUAAGCCAUAAAGAAUAAUAAAAGUGAUUUGUAAUCAAUUAGUUUAUCUUCA
rnacentral:lncRNA from 1 species